rnacentral:rRNA from 1 species
UGCCAGCAGCCGCGGUAAGACGAGGGGCCCAAGCGUUAAUCGGAAUCACUGGGCUUAAAGGGUGCGUAGGCGGCUAUUUAAGUCGGGUGUGAAAGCCCCGGGCUCAACCUGGGAACUGCAUUCGAUACUGGAUAGCUAGAGUACGAGAGAGGGGGGUAGAAUUCCUAGUGUAGCGGUGAAAUGCGUAGAUAUUAGGAGGAAUACCAGUGGCGAAGGCGGCCCCCUGGCUUGAUACUGACGCUGAGGUGCGAAAGCGUGGGGAGCAAACAGGAUUAGAUA